GACGAACGCUGGCGGCGUGCUUAACACAUGCAAGUCGAACGGAAAGGCCCUGCUUUUGUGGCGUGCUCGAGUGGCGAACGGGUGAGUAACACGCGAGUAACCUGCCCCUGACUUUGGGAUAACUUCAGGAAACUGGGGCUAAUACCGCAUAGGUGCUUCUGCUCCACGGUGGCGGUUGGAAAAUUUCGGCGGGCUGCGAUGGUCUCGCCGCUCAUCAGGUUGUUGGUGGAGUAGUAGCUUACCAAUGCUUUGACCGGUAGCUGGCCUGAGGGGGUACCCGGCGACGGUGGGACUGAGGUGCGGACCAGAUUACUACGGGAGGAAGCAGUGGGGAGUCGUGCAAUAUGAGCCGGAGCCUGGUGCAGCAACGUCGGGUGCGAGAUGACGGCGCUUCGGUUGUAAACCGCUUUCGCCGGUAAAGAUGCGUGUGUGACGGUAACGGGUAUAGAAGCACCGGCUCACUACGUG
rnacentral:rRNA from 1 species